GACGAACCGGACGAACGUUAUUCGGAAUCAUUGGGCUUAAAGGGUGCGUAGGCGGUGCAGUAAGUCGGGUGUGAAAUCCCUCGGCUCAACCGAGGAACUGCGCCCGAUACUGCUGUGCUGGAGGAAGACAGAGGCGAGCGGAACUGAUGGUGGAGCGGUGAAAUGCGUUGAUAUCAUCAGGAACACCGGUGGCGAAAGCGGCUCGCUGGGUCUUUUCUGACGCUGAGGCACGAAAGCUAGGGUAGCGAACGGG
rnacentral:misc_RNA from 1 species